CAAUGAUCUAACGACUGAUCAAGUUAUCUACGAGAAAAAUAUUAAAAAAAAAGAAUUAAUAAAAGAUAAACUAUAAAUUUCUAAAUAAUAGUAAUAAUGAUACUAAUUAUGAAAGAGUCCUAACUAAAAUAUGUGCCAGCAGCUGCGGUUAGACAUAGAGGGCAAGCAUUGAUCAGAAUGGCUUAAAGGAUCUGUAGAACGUAUAAAAAAUAUAGAAUAAUAAAGGGUAAUAAGAAUUAAAGUUAGAGGGAUAAAAUCCAAAGAAAACAUUAAGACUAUAAAGAGAUUACUUAAAAUUAUUGACGUUGUGAGAUGAAGGCUACGGUAGCGACAUGGAUUCGAUACCCAUUUAGUCGUAGCAGUAAACUAUGAAUACAAUAAAAGAAAAAUGAAAAUGAAUAGUAUUCCGCCUGACUAGUACGCUCGCAAGGGUGAAAUACAAGACAUUAGACGGUUGUAGUCCCAAGCAGUGGAACAUGUCAUUUAAUUGGAUGAUCCUCCAAAAACCUUACCAUCUCUUGAAUAUUUUACAGGCGUUACAUCGUUGUCGUCAGUUCAUGCCGUGAGGUUUAAUAUUAAGUUAUUGAAUGAACGUAACCCUUUUCUAAUAAAAAGAUAAGUAUAAUUGUAAAAUUAUAGGAAGUAGAGGUUGAAGACUAAUCAUGAUGACCCUAAUGAGAUGGGCUAUCGACGUGUUACAAUAUUAAUAACAAUUAAAUUAAUAAUAUUAAGUUAAAUUAAAUAUUAAGAAAAAGACAUAGUUUCAUUUAUGGAUUGUAAUCUGAAAUUCGGUUACAUAAAGGAGGAAUUGCUAGUAAUCGUAAACAAUAGAGUUACGGUGAAAUUUUUUGCUACUUCGUACUAACCACUCAUCA
rnacentral:rRNA from 1 species